UAUAUAUAUAUAUAUAUUUUUUUUUUACUAUUUAAUUUGUAAAAAUGUGUAUACACACACACACACACACACACACACGUAGGAAAAUAUUUAGUAUACACAUCCAGAAAUGCAUACACUAUUAUAUAUUGUACAUAUAUUUAUUAGUUUCAGAUUAGCCAUUCUUGUAUUUUGCUCGUUUGUGUUGUUGUGUUUGCACAUCUCUGUUGCUUGUGGGGCUCGCACACAAGAAUUUCACUCGCAUGUGCUGUGCCAGUGUGCCUGCACAUGUGAUGUGACAAUAAAAGUGAUUUGAUUUGAUUUGAAAUACUGAUGAAACCUGACACUGACAUUGAAAUAACAUUGAUUCACUGUUGUUCUGUCAUCGUUGAUUGUUGAUCAAGUUAUAGUUGACAAGGUGACAACAAUCACGUUGAAAAAUCAUCAAUUUAUGGUUGAGCGGGAAAUUAAAACUGCUACCACUUGGACUAUUCCGCAGCACCCCUAUCACAUUGGUACGUCCCUCCAGGUAACCAUUGUCUUGUACAGUAGAGCGGGACAUUAGAUUUACUCUCAGCGGAAUUGACCGGAGAAGGCAUCAGUUCAUGCACUGCACUGGCCUGCACCACGAUUAGUAUAAGACAGGGCAAAAAAGGACUCCAAAUUUUAAAAAAAGAUAAAAAUGAAAGACUGGUGCAUUGUGCAGUUCAGCACUGGUGGUACAGAAAUAGUCCCUAGUUCAUGGAUAAAUGGGGAGAAAUUGUCAUAGCCUCCAUAUCCUCCGUGAGACACAUUCAGGAUCCACGCCACAGUAAAGAGGAGAGUUCAUCCUGGUGCAACAUGGCUCACCUAUGCACCAGUCUGACUUCUAAUAAGCCAUGGCACAUUUCACGAAGCAGAACGCAGUCUUCAGAAAUAUCUAAGUGAACACUGUGAUACGUCUGACCUUCAGUCCGAAGCUGAAACUCAGACCAGUCAUAAAAGAAAGCAUAAACCAAAUCCCCUGUACACAUAUAGUGACUCAGAGGAUGAGCAGCCCACAAAAAAACGGUUUCCCCAGGCGCCUCGAGUGACAAUACCAGACCUGACAAGAGCUGUUAACGAACUCCGUGAGGAGGUCAGAGCCAUCCGCAAUACCGGCUGCAAUGAAUCGGUAGAUGCUGGGGUACUGCCUCUGGAUUUGCCCUUGCACAACAUUGAGGAGCUAAACAAUGCAGAGGCACCUCUUCAAUCACAAGAGGCAAAUAAGGCAAUGGUGAGACGCUUUACCUUGAUUGGAGGGACCACACUGGAGGUGCGAGUCCGCCGUGUAAUGGCUUAUGCCAUUACAAACGAGCUGGCCUCGGUACUAAACUGGGCAGGGAAAAAAACCAAGGACCAGACAAAGCAAAAAAGGGCAUUUAAAGAUACAGCGCUCUGCAAAUGCAUAUUUGAUGGCCUGACGCAACAGUUAGGGGCAAACUCUAUGUCCGAGUUUGUCUUUGCACAAGCAGUGCAGAAAUGGCUCCGAUACGCCCCAGAUCG
ensembl:lncRNA